UACGGAGGGGGCUAGCGUUGUUCGGAAUUAUUGGGCGUAAAGAGCUCGUAGGCGGUUUGUCGCGUCUGCCGUGAAAGUCCGGGGCUCAACUCCGGAUCUGCGGUGGGUACGGGCAGACUAGAGUAUUGCAGGGGAGACUGGAAUUCCUGGUGUAGCGGUGAAAUGCGCAGAUAUCAGGAGGAACACCGAUGGCGAAGGCAGGUCUCUGGGCCACUACUGACGCUGAGAAAGCGAAAGCAUGGGGAGCGAACAGG
rnacentral:rRNA from 1 species